rnacentral:rRNA from 1 species
CCAUGCCGCGUGCAGGAAGACGGCCUUCUGGGUUGUAAACUGCUUUUAUACGGGAAGAAAAAGGCCUUGCGAGGCAAAUUGCCGGUACCGUAUGAAUAAGCAUCGGCUAACUCCGUGCCAGCAGCCGCGGUAAUACGGAGGAUGCAAGCGUUAUCCGGAAUCAUUGGGUUUAAAGGGUCCGUAGGUGGAUUAGUAAGUCAGAGGUGAAAGCCUGCAGCUCAACUGUAGAACUGCCUUUGAUACUGCUAGUCUUGAAUUAUUGUGAAGUGGUUAGAAUAUGUAGUGUAGCGGUGAAAUGCAUAGAUAUUACAUAGAAUACCGAUUGCGAAGGCAGAUCACUAACAAUAUAUUGACACUGAUGGACGAAAGCGUGGGGAGCGAACGGGAUUAGAUACCCCGGUAGUCCACGCCGUAAACGAUGGUCACUAGCUGUUCGGAUUUCGGUCUGAGUGGCUAAGCGAAAGUGAUAAGUGACCCACCUGGGGAGUACGUUCGCAAGAAUGAAACUCAAAGGAAUUGACGGGGGCCCGCACAAGCGGUGGAGCAUGUGGUUUAAUUCGAUGAUACGCGAGGAACCUUACCAGGGCUUAAAUGUAGAUUGCAUUAGGCAGAGAUGCUUAUUUCUUCGGACUAUCUACAAGGUGCUGCAUGGUUGUCGUCAGCUCGUGCCGUGAGGUGUCAGGUUAAGUCCUAUAACGAGCGCAACCCCUGUUGUUAGUUGCCAGCAUGUAAAGAUGGGAACUCUAGCAAGACUGCCGGUGCAAACC